rnacentral:rRNA from 1 species
UACGAAGGGUGCAAGCGUUAAUCGGAAUUACUGGGCGUAAAGCGUGCGCAGGCGGUUUUGUAAGUCUGUCGUGAAAUCCCCGGGCUUAACCUGGGAAUGGCGAUGGAGACUGCAAGGCUAGAAUCUGGCAGAGGGGGGUAGAAUUCCACGUGUAGCAGUGAAAUGCGUAGAGAUGUGGAGGAACACCGAUGGCGAAGGCAGCCCCCUGGGUCAAGAUUGACGCUCAUGCACGAAAGCGUGGGGAGCAAACAGG